UACGUAUGGUGCAAGCGUUAUCCGGAUUUACUGGGUGUAAAGGGAGCGCAGGCGGCACGGCAAGCCUGAUGUGAAAGCCCGCGGCCCAACCGCGGGACUGCAUUGGGAACUACCGGGCUGGAGUGCCGGAGAGGUAGGCGGAAUUCCUAGUGUAGCGGUGAAAUGCGUAGAUAUUAGGAGGAACACCAGUGGCGAAGGCGGCCUACUGGACGGUGACUGACGCUGAGGCUCGAAAGCGUGGGGAACAAACAGG
rnacentral:rRNA from 1 species